GUUCGUGCAGGAAAUCAGGGAAUUGACCGUUCCUGCACCGCUUGGCUCGCCUGCAAAGCAGAAGACGGAGUGGGCUCCUGGACACGAGCCCCGGGGCCUCCUCGCGCUGAGAGGGGCCACUGGCUUGCCCUGCGACCUUGGGAACUUCCUGUGUCCCAACCCAGCAGUGGCCGGAGAUCACAGUGGGGCCCUAAGCUGCAGGAUGACCCACUGAAGCCUCAGGUUUUCCUUCCCACCCGGCUCUGAGACAUGAGGUGGAUGCUCCAGCGGGUGCUCCAUAUGCAGGUGAGUGC